GAGGAACACUACAGUGAUGUUUUACAGUAAGCCAGGUGAGGAACACUGCAGUGAUGUUUUACAGUAAGCCAGGUGAGGAACACUGCAGUGAUGUUUUACAGUAAGCCAGGUGAGGAACACUGCAGUGAUGUUUUACAGUAAGCCAGGUGAGGAACACUGCAGUGAUGUUUUACAGUAAGCCAGGUGAGGAACACUGCAGUGAUGUUUUACAGUAAGCCAGGUGAGGAACACUGCAGUGAUGUUUUACAGUAAGCCAGGUGAGGAACACUGCAGUGAUGUUUUACAGUAAGCCAGGUGAGGUACACUGCAGUGAUGUUUUACAGUAAGCCAGGUGAGGAACAUGGCAGUGAUGUUUUACAGUAAGCCAGGUGAGGAACACUGCAGUGAUGUUUUACAGUAAGCCAGGUGAGGAACACUGCAGUGAUGUUUUACAGUAAGCCAGUUGAGGAACACUGCAGUGAUGUUUUACAGUAAGCCAG